GCCGGGCCCGGUGGCGCAUGCCUGUAGUCCCAGCUACUCGGGAGGCUGAGGUUGGAGGAUCGCUUGAGCCCAGGAGUUCUGGGCUGUAGUGUGAUACGCCGAUCGGGUGUCCGCACUAAGUUCGGCAUCAGUAUGGUGACCUCCUGGGAGCGGGGGACCACCAGGUUGCCUAAGGAGGGGUGAACCGGCCCAGGUCAGAAAUGGAGCAAGUCAAAACUCCCGUGCUGAUCAGUAGUGGGAUCACGCCUGUGAAUAGCCACUGCACUCCAGCCUGGGCAAUAUAGCGAGACCCCGUCUCU
ensembl:misc_RNA Metazoa_SRP Metazoan signal recognition particle RNA